GAUCCUGGCUCAGGACGAACGCUGGCGGCGUGCCUAACACAUGCAAGUCGAGCGGGGAUUAUCGAAUGAAGUUUUCGGAUGGAUUUUGGUAAUUCUAGCGGCGGACGGGUGAGUAACGCGUGAGCAACCUGCCUUUCACAGGGGGAUAACGCAUCGAAAGGUGCACUAAUACCGCAUGAGACCACGCUCCCGACAUGAGAGAGGGGUCAAAGGAGCAAUCCGGUGAGAGAUGGGUUCGCGU
rnacentral:rRNA from 1 species